AAGCCAAAAACUCCGCUUCAAUCUGGUGCAGCGAAGAGCACAGGGCCUUCUUCCAGGGAGGAGUAGGAUGUCAGCUUUUCUCAUCUUGCCCCCAGCUACCUGUUGCUGAGGCUAAGUUCCUGAGCAAACAGAAGUGUUGGGACAUAUUCCAAGACUGAUGUCAGUGGAGAACAGAAGCUGCUUAGCGGGACAAGUAUGCACUAAUUUAAAUCUGAAAGAAGGGCUCAUUGAGGUCUAGACAAGGGAAAUCAGCCUGAUCUCUUCAACUAGGUUCUGCUGAGCAAAACUUCAUGGUCACCACAGCUCAAACAGAAGUUUCUCAGUUAUGUGACAAGACACUCUUUCUUUAAGAUGGAAGGAUGAAAAGAAACUUCUCAAAUGCCUCAUCCACAAAAUCUCGUCUCAUGCAAUGAUAUGGAUUGUUAGUGACACAAAUGGGUGUACAAAAAUUCUUUCGAUUGCAGAAAACCUACCCCAAACUGACUUCAACCAACAUGACUCCAAAGAUAUAAAAGCAAAGCUUGAUUUAGGACUUGUAAAAUAUCACUAAGAUCUAGCUAUGGGCUCCAUGUGCUUUGUAGUGCCUCUAUAUUCAGGUUGCAAUAGGAAGGUCCCAGCAACUGAGUACUGCCACAUCAUGGCAGUACCCAGUCCAUGAAAAUAUAGUCUGCUUUCUGGCUAAUUUAAAACAAACUCCAGAAUUUCUGUUCUGGAGAACAGAACACUAAUGUUCUGAUGAUAAAAAGUAUGGAGGUUACUGGCAAAAGCAACAAGUAUCUAUUACAUCAAAAUGCUGCAAAUAAGAGUGCUUCACACUUUGCUAUUUUGUUCUCUCAAUGACUAGUCUAUUUCUCCUCCAGUCCCUCUUACCUGCUGAUCCCAGAUUAAUUGUCCUAAAGGACAGACUUAUUCAUGUCACAUCUUUGUCCAGAAACCUUAAAAGUUCCCUGUGAUUUAUGGAACAAAAGUCAGACUUCUUAGCCUGACAUUUAAUGUCCUUCACAAUCUGGUCAUGCCCAAUUCAUCUAACCAUUCUUAUCUCCAGCCUUUGCUUCUGCUGCGUGCUUUACAAAAUGUGUUUUCUUACCCUCUCUGUUGUCUAAAUUGUACUGAUAGUGUAAUAAGUAAAGCAAAUGGCAUGUUUUCUUAUGAAGCUGAAAGUAAUUUUGUCCUCCUUUCGACUCCCAGAAUUGCAAACUCCUGCCAUGGUACCCACUACUUUCUACUUGAGUCUGUUAUUUCUGGAUCUGCCUACCAGAGUCCAUAUUCCUCACUGAAGGUGGUGUUUAGGUAUUAUACAUCUUUGCUACUUUUAAAAAAACAAAGAAUUUUGUACUUAAUAAUAUGCAUUUUGUAAAUAAACUAAUAAAUAUAGAGUAUUC
rnacentral:lncRNA from 10 species